UAGGUUGAAGCCAGUUGUUUAGGGUGUUUAGCUGUUAACUAAGAUUUCGUGGGUUAGAAGCCCAUCAACCUAG
rnacentral:tRNA from 1 species